rnacentral:rRNA from 1 species
GACGAACGCUGGCGGCGUGCCUAAUACAUGCAAGUCGAGCGAAUUUACGAGAGCUUGCUCUCGUAAAUUAGCGGCGGACGGGUGAGUAACACGUGGGCAACCUGCCUAUAAGACUGGGAUAACUUCGGGAAACCGGAGCUAAUACCGGAUAAUUCACAUCUACUCAUGUAGAUGUGCUGAAAGACGGUUUCGGCUGUCACUUAUAGAUGGGCCCGCGGCGCAUUAGCUAGUUGGUGAGGUAACGGCUCACCAAGGCCACGAUGCGUAGCCGACCUGAGAGGGUGAUCGGCCACACUGGGACUGAGACACGGCCCAGACUCCUACGGGAGGCAGCAGUAGGGAAUCUUCCGCAAUGGACGAAAGUCUGACGGAGCAACGCUGCGUGAGUGAUGAAGGUUUUCGGAUCGUAAAACUCUGUUGUUAGGGAAGAACAAGUACCAGAGUAACUGCUGGUACCUUGACGGCACCUAACCAGAAAGCCACGGCUAACUACGUGCCAGCCGCCGCGGUAA